GACGAACGCUGGCGGCGUGCCUAACACAUGCAAGUCGAGCGGAGUUGACAAGAGGAAGUUUUCGGAUGGAAUCUUGCCAGCUUAGCGGCGGACGGGUGAGUAACGCGUGAGCGACCAACCUUGCACAGGGGGAUAACGGACCGAAAGGUUCACUAAUACCGCAUGAGACCACGGUGUUGCAUGACACAGGGGUCAAAGGAGGAAUCCGGUGCAAGACGGGCUCGCGUCCGAUUAGGUAGUUGGAGGGGUAACGGCCCACCAAGCCUAUGAUCGGUAGCCGACCUGAGAGGGUGAUCGGCCACAUUGGAACUGAGAUACGGUCCAAACUCCUACGGGAGGCAGCAGUGGGGAAUAUUGGGUAAUGGGGGAAACCCUGACCCAGCAACGCCGCGUGAAGGAAGAAGGUUUUCGGAUUGUAAACUUCUGUCCUUGGUGAAGAGAAGAAGACAGUAGCCAAGGAGGAAGCCCCGGCUAACUACGUGCCAGCAGCCGCGGUAA
rnacentral:rRNA from 1 species